GUCCUCUGUGCUGAAGGCUAAAGACUGCAAACAGGUGUGCAGGCCGCCUGGAAGCCUGCCAGUGAACUUUUCUGUGGCUGAGCAUUCAGCCGGGUGUGAACGGACACCUAGGAUUCCAGAGCCCCUUAAUCACGACCAUG